rnacentral:rRNA from 1 species
GAUUAUGGCUCAGGACGAACGCUGGCGGCGCGCCUAACACAUGCAAGUCGAACGGAGUUAUGAAAGCUUGCUUUGAUAACUAGUGGCGGACGGGUGAGUAACACGUGAGUAACCUGCCUUUCAGUGGGGAAUAACGGCUGGAAACGGUCGCUAAUACCGCAUAAUGUAUUUUGUCGGCAUCGACGGAAUACCAAAGAUUUAUCGCUGAGAGAUGGACUCGCGUCCGAUUAGCUAGUUGGUGAGGUAAUGGCUCACCAAGGCGACGAUCGGUAGCCGGACUGAGAGGUUGAACGGCCACAUUGGGACUGAGACACGGUCCAGACUCCUACGGGAGGCAGCAGUGGGGGAUAUUGCACAAUGGGGGAAACCCUGAUGCAGCGACGCCGCGUGUAGGAAGACGGUCCUCUGGAUUGUAAACUACUGUCUUCGGGGACGAUAAUGACGGUACCCGAGGAGGAAGCUCCGGCUAACUACGUGCCAGCAGCCGC